UAUUUAUAUAUAUUUAUUUAUAUUUUUAUAUAAAUAAAUUUAAAUAAAAAAAGAAAUGCGAUGGUCUUAUUUUUAUUUGAAAUAGACAAGACAAUAGAAUUUAUUCAAUUAAAUUAAUAAAUAUAGUAUUUAUUUUUUUAUCUAUUUGAUUUUAUCUAUUUGAAUUACAUUCCUUAAUAAUAUAAUUGAUUUGAAAAAAAAAAAAUUAAGAUAAUUUUAUAUACAAAAUUAAAAAUUAGUGUCAUUACUAUUACUGAUCAAUAAAAAUAUCUACCAAAAACGAGGGAG
rnacentral:lncRNA from 1 species